CCUACGGGAGGCUGCAGUGGGGAAUAUUGGACAAUGGGGGGAACCCUGAUCCAGCCAUGCCGCGGGUGUGAAGAAGGCCCUCGGGUGGUAAAGCACUUUCAGUGAGGAAGAACGCCUGGUGGUUAAUACCCAUCAGGAAAGACAUCACUCACAGAAGAAGCACCGGCUAACUCCGUGCCAGCAGCCGCGGUAAUACGGAGGGUGCGAGCGUUAAUCGGAAUUACUGGGCGUAAAGCGCGCGUAGGUGGCUUGAUAAGCCGGUUGUGAAAGCCCCGGGCUCAACCUGGGAACGGCAUCCGGAACUGUCAAGCUAGAGUGCAGGAGAGGAAGGUAGAAUUCCCGGUGUAGCGGUGAAAUGCGUAGAGAUCGGGAGGAAUACCAGUGGCGAAGGCGGCCUUCUGGACUGACACUGACACUGAGGUGCGAAAGCGUGGGUAGCAAACAGGAUUAGAUACCCUAGUAGUC
rnacentral:rRNA from 1 species